rnacentral:rRNA from 1 species
UACGGAGGGUGCAAGCGUUAUCCGGAUUCACUGGGUUUAAAGGGUGCGUAGGUGGGCAGGUAAGUCAGUGGUGAAAUCUCCGGGCUUAACCCGGAAACUGCCAUUGAUACUAUCUGUCUUGAAUACCGUGGAGGUGAGCGGAAUAUGUCAUGUAGCGGUGAAAUGCUUAGAUAUGACAUAGAACACCAAUUGCGAAGGCAGCUCACUACACGAAUAUUGACGCUGAGGCACGAAAGCGUGGGGAGCAAACAGG